AUGGCGACGACGACGGUGACAUGCCUGCUGAUGGUCUGGGCACUGGUUGCCGCCGGUCUGUUUGACACGGCCCUCACCCGGGCAUCCGUGGCCCCGCCCACGGUGGGGAAGGAGCGGCGCGAGUUCGACUACUCCGCGCUGGCGCCGCAGUGGCCGGGCACCAUCUGCUCCUCCACCCGUCACUGCUGCACCAUCAACGUUUGCUGCCGGUACGUGCUCCACCUCCUAUUCUCCACUCUCCCCACCACGGCCUCAUCGCGCGUGUGGGGGCUCUCAUUCGGGUCGGAUGGGGUGGGGUUUCUGUCGCUCUGGAGAUUUGAUUCGAUUCGAUUCUCCCCUCCUGCGCACAUGUGCUCACACCGUUUGUCCUUCGUGUUCCUCGUUGCAGGUCGGAGGCACUCCACACUUUCACGAUCUUGUGGUUGGAUUUCUGCUGAUGGAACAGACGGGCUGUGGCCGGACUACAAUGACAGGGACCUGGCCGUCGUGCUGCCGCCACACCAGCUUCGACAUGGACAAGGUGCUAGCCGCAGAGACCUUACUGAUAUGUGGCCGCUC
rnacentral:rRNA from 1 species